rnacentral:sRNA from 1 species
UUACGAGAGUACUUUCCUUCCUCCUUCAUACAGAAAUACGUACACACAAGGCAGAUUCGGUAAACGGAGACUGCAGGCUUCUUCUGUGAGAUUCUUUCAAUUAAGAAACUAGCUUCGGCGGGAAAUGGUUGAUGGGCACAUUAUCAAUCUGUGCCUGAAGGAUUUGAUUUCACCUUCUUCUGAUACCAUUUUAUACAUAUAAAUCUAUUUGGUGAACACAAUUGAAAUCCAUCCCAGUCAGCAAUCAGGGUAUGUAUUCUCCUGGCUAUAUGCUUCUGGAAAUUCAACAUUGGACACUUGUAGGUCGACUAGAGUAGAACUAUAUCUACAGUUGAUUGAGCACCUAGCUCCGGGUUGAAAGGCUUACGAUCUGUUAAAAUGACCACGAUGGGACCUGCAAUCACCAUGGUUUUUUUUUUUUUUUUUUUUUUUUUAACAUCAACAGGUAUCGUCCACAAAUUUGGCUCCUUUUUGGCAUUCUCUCGCACUUGUAUAAGUUUUUGAGCUAUAUCAUUUUGCCGGAGAGAUGUAAAAAGCUCCCAUUCAAAUCUGUGUCGGAGAAUUCCUUGUCUCGUUAGCAUAAUACAUUGCGCAGCAAGUUCAAAUUCACAGCCAU